AACGUAGGUGGCAAGCGUUAUCCGGAUUUACUGGGCGUAAAGCGCGUGUAGGCGGCCAUACAGGUCCGUUGUGAAAACUCGAGGCUUAACCUCGAGACGUCGAUGGAAACCGUAUGGCUAGAGUCCGGAAGAGGAGAGUGGAAUUCCUGGUGUAGCGGUGAAAUGCGCAGAUAUCAGGAGGAACACCGGUGGCGAAGGCGGUUCUCUGGGACGGUACUGACGCUGAGACGCGAAAGCGUGGGGAGCGAACAGG
rnacentral:rRNA from 1 species